AUGCUUACAAUGCUUUUCGUCAAUUUUAUUGUGGAAUCUUUUUAAAAAAUAUAUUUUGAUAAUUUUUCAAAAAUAUUUCUAUAUGUAUAUUCAAUCUAUAUGCAUUUGUAUUAAAAAAUCUGAACACGGAUGCAUAUGAGUAAAUAAAAAAGCAAGAGAGCGUACGAAUGAGCAAUUCCCGGCUUCGAAUAGCUUGCGCAACAGCUCGAACUCAUACUCAGUAACAGCGGAUGAACUUUUCCGUAUUGGGAAUGCUUAUGAAAUAAUCUACGAGGAGGAUCGGCCGCUUAAAGGUUCACUCGUGUCUUUCACCAACUUCUAGGACUCGAAGGAAAAAGAGAAAGGAUAAAAUAUUAAAUCAUACAUUUUUUUUAUUUAAAAAUAUAUAUGGUUUUUCUGUUAUCAAAGAGAAUAUAAUUUAUUUUAAAUUAGAGAAUAUGUGAGCGAAUUUUUUCAGAUUAUAUCAAUCUUGAGAUUUUACUAUUUAUUCAUAGACAAACAAUUCAGUCGGAUCGGAAUGAUUGCGGAAUAGGUUAUGUGCGUCGCGUAAGCUAAGCCAAUCAAGUUGCGCAAAAGAUAUCGUACAAGUGGAUGAGAGGAAGACGGCAUCGAGAAGAGGAUCGCCAGAAGAAAUUCUCUGGCGUAACGUCGACCUCCGUUCUCUACUCCCUCCCGUUCGAGAUCGUUUUCCCUUUAUACUCUCGAUGGUAAAGUCCCAAUCGCGUUUCCAUCGUGAUGUGCUCAUGUGCCACCUCUGUCGCCUGUUGCCGUCGCUACCGUUGCGAGGAAACAAGACGAGUAUCAAGAGAAGAAGGGAUGGACCAGGACAGGAUGAGAAGGGUGAAGAGAAGUGUUCUUCGAGAGUUCAUCGCUUAUUAUGUAAGCAACACCUGCGGUCUGCAUCCGUGUUCUGUUUCCCGGUAACAGAGUGCAUCUUCUUUUCAACUCGAUCAAGAAAUAGGAGAAGAGGGAAAAAAAGAACUCUGGCUCGAAAGUGGAAGGAUCGUUUUUCUUGUCGACAAAGUUGACCGCUUCAUGGUUCUUCCUUUUCGUGAGAAACUUUUCGUCCACGAGCAAGCAGAGGGAUGAUGGUCGCGCGCGCGUAACUGGUAUAUUGGUAGGUGCUCAAUCCUGGCACGUUUCGUUCUCGUGCCUUCUUUUGUAUUUCGUGUUCACGACUUUUCUUCCUGGUCCUGGUGUUUUUUUCUUUUCCUUCCCUUCAUCGUUUCUCUAUCAUAGAAGCAGGAGGUUAUAGGAGGUUGCAGGAGGAGCAGGUAGCUUCUCUCUUUUGCGGUUCUGAUUUCCUGAAUUUCUCCUCGACUGGACCUUCGAAAAGCACGUAUCUUACCUUCGUAUGGUUUAUUGUCGGGACGAAAAUCGUCAUUGUGCGAUGAAAUCAAAGGGAAUUCGAGUGCGUUUUCCUUGCAUCCCGUUACAUGACCGAGUGAGCUCUUCGAGAAGAAGACUCGGUCAAUGCGAUUCGUAUGCGCAAGAAAGACAGCUCGAUGAGAACAAGGUGAGGGGCGAAAAGGCAAAGAAGGACCUCGAAAAGAAUCCGUGCAGGUCGUGGGAGGAAUCGUGGGAAAAUCGUUGGCAGCUUUCGAAAUUGCUUAUGCUCGGUGUACCAUUUGACACAUAAAAAAA